UCGACAAAAGAAAAUUUAACACUACAGCAUAUCAUGAACUCCUUCAGCGUAAUCCAAUGUAAUGGAUGCGAUGCAACGCAACAUUUUCGGCUCAAAUGAGAAAAGAAACUGGGCCGCGGGAAAUAAAACGCGGUUUUUUUAGAAAGGUUUGCGAAAUAAGAGACUCAUGAAAUUAGGGCUGCUCAUUUAAAACUUAUUAUCGGGAACCUAAGAAACUCGUUUAAUAAAAACUUAUUCAUUUGAUGGGUCGAGGUGCUGUGAGAAUUUCAACACAUAAUAGGUCCACGUGAUGCUGCACAAGGGUCGCCUAAAGANNNNN
rnacentral:lncRNA from 1 species